GAAUUCGCCCUUAGAGUUUGAUCCUGGCUCAGGAUGAACGCUAGCGGCACGCUUCAUACAUGCAAGUCGAGGGGCAGCAUAAAGUACUUGUACUUUGAUGGCGACCGGCGAACGGGUGCGUAACGCGUAUGCAACUUACCUUUUACUAGAGAAUAGCCAAGAGAAAUUUUGAUUAAUGCUCUAUACUCUUUUUAACUCACAUGAGUUUUUAAGAAAAGCUCCGGCGGUAAAAGAUGGGCAUGCGUCCUAUUAGCUUGUAAGUGAGGUAACGGCUCACCUAAGCUCCGAUAGGUAGGGGUCCUGAGAGGGAGAUCCCCCACACUGGUACUGAGACACGGACCAGACUUCUACGGAAGGCAGCAGUAAGGAAUAUUGGACAAUGGAGGAAACUCUGAUCCAGCGAUGCCGCGUGAAGGAAGACGGCCCUAUGGGUUGUAAACUUCUUUUAUACAGGAAGAAACCUUUCCACGUGUGGAAAGCUGACGGUACUGUAAGAAUAAGGAUCGGCUAACUCCGUGCCAGCAGCCGCGGUAAUAAGGGCG
rnacentral:rRNA from 1 species